rnacentral:rRNA from 1 species
UGGGGAAUAUUGCACAAUGGGCGCAAGCCUGAUGCAGCCAUGCCGCGUGUAUGAAGAAGGCCUUCGGGUUGUAAAGUACUUUCAGCGGGGAGGAAGGUGUUGUGGUUAAUAACCACAGCAAUUGACGUUACCCGCAGAAGAAGCACCGGCUAACUCCGUGCCAGCAGCCGCGGUAAUACGGAGGGUGCAAGCGUUAAUCGGAAUUACUGGGCGUAAAGCGCACGCAGGCGGUUGGUCAAGUCGGAUGUGAAAUCCCCGGGCUCAACCUGGGAACUGCAUCCGAAACUGGCAGGCUUGAGUCUUGUAGAGGGGGGUAGAAUUCCAGGUGUAGCGGUGAAAUGCGUAGAGAUCUGGAGGAAUACCGGUGGCGAAGGCGGCCCCCUGGACAAAGACUGACGCUCAGGUGCGAAAGCGUGGGGAGCAAACA